AUGGACUCUUCUCCAGGCUUCAUGGCUGUGAUACUUCUUCUACUCGGGGUGGCUGGCAAGACUCAAGUGGAGCAGAGUCCCCAGUCCCUGGUUGUCCAUCAGGGAGAGAGCUGUGUCCUUCAAUGCAAUUACACUGUGACCCCCUUCAACAACUUGAGGUGGUACAAACAAGACAGAGGCAGAGGUCCUGUGUCCCUGACAGUCCUUGCAUACAAAAAGGAGACAACAUCAAGUGGAAGAUACUCAGCAACUCUGGAUGAAGGUGCUAAGCACAGCACCCUGCACAUCACAGCCUCCCUGCUGGAUGACGCUGCCACCUACAUCUGUGUGGUGGCCGCACCAUGCUCCCCAGAAACUGAGAGCCAGUACCAAAACCUGCUCCUGGAGGCUUUGAGGAGGCAUAGCUUCACAGACAACAAGAGGAUCGAGCACGAAGGGUUCCACGCCGCUCUCCAUAAGAGCAGCCGCUCCUUCCGUCUGCAGAAGCCCUCAGCACAGCUGUCAGACUCUGCCCUGUACUACUGUGCUGUGGAGACACAGUGA